rnacentral:rRNA from 1 species
GACGAACGCUGGCGGCGUGCUUAACACAUGCAAGUCGAGCGGUAAGGCCCUUUCGGGGGUACGACGAGCGGCGAACGGGUGAGUAACACGUGGGUGACCUGCCCUCAGCUCUGGGAUAAGCCUGGGAAACCGGGUCUAAUACUGGAUAUGACUCCAUGACGCAUGUUGUGGGGUGGAAAGCCUUGUGCGGCUGAGGAUGGGCCCGCGGCCUAUCAGCUUGUUGGGUGGGGUGANGGCCUACCAAGGCGACGACGGGUAGCCGGCCUGAGAGGGCGACCGGCCACACUGGGACUGAGACACGGCCCAGACUCCUACGGGAGGCAGCAGUGGGGAAGUCUUGCGCAAUGGGCGAAAGCCUGACGCAGCGACGCCGCGUGAGGGAUGAC